rnacentral:rRNA from 1 species
GCUACACAUGCAGUCGAACGAGAAACGGUCUAGCUUGCUAGAUGCAGUCUAAGUGGCGCACGGGUGAGUAAUAUAUAGGUAAUAUGCCUCUUACUAAGGGAUAACAGAUGGAAACGUCUGCUAAUACCUUAUAUGCCUUUAGGACUAAAGUCCGCAAGGGAAAGAUUUAUCGGUAAGAGAUUAGCCUGUACAGUAUCAGUUAGUUGGUGAGGUAAUGGCUCACCAAGACUAUGACACUUAACUGGUUUGAGAGGAUGAUCAGUCACACUGGAACUGAGACACGGUCCAGACUCCUACGGGAGGCAGCAGUGGGGAAUAUUGCACAAUGGACGGAAGUCUGAUGCAGCAACGCCGCGUGGAGGAUGACACAUUUCGGUGCGUAAACUCCUUUUAUAUGAGAAGAUAAUGACGGUAUCAUAUGAAUAAGCACCGGCUAACUCCGUGCCAGCAGCCGCGGUAAUACGGAGGGUGCAAGCGUUACUCGGAAUCACUGGGCGUAAAGAGCGUGUAGGCGGGUUGAUAAGUUUGAAGUGAAAUCCUAUAGCUUAACUAUAGAACUGCUUUGAAAACUGUUAACCUAGAAUAUGGGAGAGGUAGAUGGAAUUUCUGGUGUAGGGGUAAAAUCCGUAGAGAUCAGAAGGAAUACCGAUUGCGAAGGCGAUCUACUGGAACAUUAUUGACGCUGAGACGCGAAAGCGUGGGUAGCAAACAGGAUUAGAUACCCUGGUAGUCCACGCCCUAAACGAUGUACACUAGUUGUUGUGAGGCUCGACCUUGCAGUAAUGCAGUUAACACAUUAAGUGUACCGCCUGGGGAGUACGGUCGCAAGAUUAAAACUCAAAGGAAUAGACGGGACCCGCACAAGCGGUGGAGCAUGUGGUUUAAUUCGACGAUACACGAAGAACCUUACCUGGACUUGACAUAGUAAGACUUUCUAG